AGCGAACGCUGGCGGCAGGCCUAACACAUGCAAGUCGAACGAACUCUUCGGAGUUAGUGACGGACGGGUGAGUAACACGUGGGAACGUGCCUUUAGGUUCGGAAUAACUCAGGGAAACUUGUGCUAAUACCGAAUGUGCCCUUCGGGGGAAAGAUUUAUCGCCUUUAGAGCGGCCCGCGUCUGAUUAGCUAGUUGGUGAGGUAAAGGCUCACCAAGGCGACGAUCAGUAGCUGGUCUGAGAGGAUGAUCAGCCACAUUGGGACUGAGACACGGCCCAAACUCCUACGGGAGGCAGCAGUGGGGAAUCUUGCGCAAUGGGCGAAAGCCUGACGCAGCCAUGCCGCGUGAAUGAUGAAGGUCUUAGGAUUGUAAAAUUCUUUCACCGGGGACGAUAAUGACGGUACCCGGAGAAGAAGCCCCGGCUAACUUCGUG
rnacentral:rRNA from 1 species